GGCAGACGGGCGAGUAACGCGUGGGAAUCUACCCAUCUCUACGGAAUAACGCAUGGAAACGUGUGCUAAUACCGUAUACGUCCUUCGGGAGAAAGAUUUAUCGGAGAUGGAUGAGCCCGCGUUGGAUUAGCUAGUUGGUGGGGUAAAGGCCUACCAAGGCGACGAUCCAUAGCUGGUCUGAGAGGAUGAUCAGCCACACUGGGACUGAGACACGGCCCAGACUCCUACGGGAGGCAGCAGUGGGGAAUAUUGGACAAUGGGCGCAAGCCUGAUCCAGCCAUGCCGCGUGAGUGAUGAAGGCCCUAGGGUUGUAAAGCUCUUUCACCGGUGAAGAUAAUGACGGUAACCGGAGAAGAAGCCCCGGCUAACUUCGUGCCAGCAGCC
rnacentral:rRNA from 1 species